UUGUAUUUACAGUCACAUUUUGCCUCCAAAUAAAUGAGUAUUUCACACAUAUAUCUAUUUAUCAAAAAAUAGCCAUGCAAUUCUAACCAAGAAUUUUGUUUAUGUUUCUCUAAUCUCAAAAAUCACCUGAUAUAAACAUAUUCAAUAUUUAAAAAGAUUUAAUAAAAAGUGUUGCAGAAAUUAAUUCUAAGAUCAAAAUGCAUUGCACGAUGGGUACAACUUUGCUCUCUAGUGAAACUGUCAGUCAAUCUGGAAGAAAAAUCUAACAAAAUGCAAACUUGACGGAUUCAUAUAAUGGAAGAUUAGAAUUGGAAGAUUUAAGUCUGUCUAAUAUUAGAAUGCCAGUUGUUAUGCAGCCAACAAAUAAUUUUAUAAAAGUUGGAACUACUAGUGUAAAACCCAUUACAAUAUUACGAUGACAAAUUAUGGCACACUUCUUCUAAAUUUAACGCACAAAGACAAGAAUUUCAUUGGUGAAACAUAUAAUGGAUUAGACUUACCUUUGAUAUUAGACAGAUUUUGCAGCGGUGAUAGUAUCAAGGAUGUGAUGUAGCUCGAGUUAGGCGAAGAAGUUUAGGAAAUAUAACAAUAGGGCUGUCAUACAAAUUAUGUUUUGAUUAACAAUAACUUAGUAAUUUGGAAUUUGUCUCAUACAGAAGCUGCAAAUAUUUUAUUUGCUGGAUGACUUUAUAGUCUACACUACAGAAAAACUAUCUUAAUGGCUAUAAAAUGACAAUAGCCACGAGACUAAAUAGAUGCAUUCUGGUUAUGGAAAGUUCAGAUGGAAUUAAUAUCUUGACUAUACAGCUACUAAAAGCUUGGAAUAUAUAUGUAAAUCUUUCCUUACGCAUAUUGCAUUAAAAUUUGUCACAAAUUUUAAUUUAUUUAGAUAAUUAGCACAUGCAGCAAUGAUAUCAUGGAUAUAUUAUAGAGUUUAGAUGCUGAUAUUAUGAUUGACUAAUAGUAAGCAAAAUAGUGCCGACAUAAAAAUUAUUUGGAUCAUAAGUAAUUUUAUAUCAAAUCGAAAUGUUUUGUGCAUUCAUAUAUACAAUAUAGUUAUUAUAUAUGUAUAUUAUAUUUGUAUAUCAGAUAUGACAUAAUCUUAGAUUGCACCAAAGAUCAAAAUAUCCACAUAAUAUUUAUAACAUUAAAAUCGUCUUUAUUGAAAAAUAGACAACUCUUUUAAAUUUGACUAAUGAAACAUUGAAUGGAAGGCAGACUUGAGGCGAGGAAGUUUGGGGAAUAAUUCCAAUAGAAUAUUAAUGCUAUCAUGCAAAUUAUGGUGAUCAACAAUAACUUAGUAAGACAUAUUUUAUUUUUUAUUAUAUUUUAAAUACUAUAAGUAUUAUAAAGCAAA